UCCCUGGUUGUCUAGUGGUAAGGAUUCGGCGCUCUCACCCGCUCGCGCCCGGUUCGAUUCCGGUCAGGGAA
rnacentral:tRNA from 1 species